rnacentral:rRNA from 1 species
UACGAAGGGUGCAAGCGUUACUCGGAAUUACUGGGCGUAAAGCGUGCGUAGGCGGUUUGUUAAGUCUGUCGUGAAAGCCCUGGGCUCAACCUGGGGAAUUGCGAUGGAUACUGGCAGCUAGAGUACGGUAGAGGAUGGUGGAAUUCCGGUGUAGCGGUGAAAUGCGUAGAGAUCGGGAGAACACCCGUGGCGAAGGCGGCCAUCUGGGACCA